AUUGAACGCUGGCGGCAGGCUUAACACAUGCAAGUCGAGCGCCCCGCAAGGGGAGCGGCAGACGGGUGAGUAACGCGUGGGAAUCUACCCAUCUCUACGGAAUAACGCAUGGAAACGUGUGCUAAUACCGUAUACGUCCUUCGGGAGAAAGAUUUAUCGGAGAUGGAUGAGCCCGCGUUGGAUUAGCUAGUUGGUGGGGUAAAGGCCUACCAAGGCGACGAUCCAUAGCUGGUCUGAGAGGAUGAUCAGCCACACUGGGACUGAGACACGGCCCAGACUCCUACGGGAGGCAGCAGUGGGGAAUAUUGGACAAUGGGCGCAAGCCUGAUCCAGCCAUGCCGCGUGAGUGAUGAAGGCCCUAGGGUUGUAAAGCUCUUUCACCGGUGAAGAUAACGACGGUAACCGGAGAAGAAGCCCCGGCUAACUUCGUGCCAGCAGCCGCAGUAACAC
rnacentral:rRNA from 1 species